rnacentral:rRNA from 1 species
AUUCCAGCUCCAAUAGCGUAUAUUAAAGUUGUUGCCGUUAAAAAGCUCGUAGUCGAACUUCGGGUCCUGUCCGCCGGUCCGCCUUCUUGGUGUGUACUUGUUGGAUGGGACCUUACCUCCUGGUGAACAGCGAUGUCCUUUACUGGGUGUCGUUGCAAACCAGGACGUUUACUUUGAAAAAAUUAGAGUGUUCAAAGCAGGCCUUUGCCCGAAUACAUUAGCAUGGAAUAAUAGAAUAGGACGCGCGUUCCCAUUUUGUUGGUUUCUGAGAUCGCCGUAACGAUUAAUAGGGAUAGUUGGGGGCAUUUGUAUUCCGACGUCAGAGGUGAAAUUCUUGGAUUGCCGGAAGACAAACUACUGCGAAAGCAUUUGCCAAGGAUGUUUUCAUUA